AAAUUUUAUACUUAUGUUUCUUACAGUUCCUUUUAUUACUUCCCACAAUGUAUUUGGGUUACAGUUUGUGUUGUUUUCUACUACUUUAUGAAUUUCUUGCUUAAUUUGAUUUUGAUAUUCAUCAUUUAAAAGCAUGGAAUUAUUAUGCCCCCCUUCGAAGAAGAGGGGGUUUAUUGCUUUGUUCAUGUCGGUCGGUCGGGCGGUCCGUCCGUCCGUCCGUCCACCAGGUGGUUGUCAUACGAUUACUCAAGAACGCUUGGGCCUAGGAUCAUGAAACUUCAUAGGUACAUUGAUCAUGACUUGCAGAUGACCCCUAUUGAUUUUGAGGUCACUAGGUCAAAGGUCAAGGUCACGGUGACCCGAUAUAGUAAAAUGGUUUCCGGAUGAUUACUCAAGAACGCAUACGCCUAGGAUCAUGAAACUUCAUGGGUAGAUUGAUCAUGACUCGCAGAUGACCCCUAUUGAUUUUGAGGUCACUAGGUCAAAGGUCAAGGUCACGGUGACCCGAAAUAGUAAAAUGAUUUUCGGAUGAUAAUUCAAGAACGCAUAUGCCUAGGAUCAUGAAACUUUAUAGGUAGAUUGAUCAUGACUCGCAGAUGACCCCUAUUGAUUUUCAGGUCACUAGGUCAAAGGUCAAGGUCACGGUGACCCGAAAUAGUAAAAUGAUUUUCAGAUGAUAACUCAAGAACGCUUUUGCCUAGGAUCAUGACACUUCAUAGGUACAUUGAUCGUGACUUGCAGAUGACCCCUAUUGAUUUUCAGGUCACUAGGUCAAAGGUCAAGGUCACAGUGACAAAAGUCGUAUUCACACAAUGGCUGCCAGUACAAUGGACAGCCCAUAUGGGGGGCAUGCAUGUUUUACAAACAGCCCUUGUUAAGUUUAAAAUAACCAGGUCCUUUUUUAGCUCAUCUAUUUUUUGAAAAAAAAUUAUGAGCUAUUGUCAUCACCUUGGCGUCGGCGUCGGCGUCGGCGUCGGCGUUGGCGUUGGCGUUGGCGUUGGCGUCCGGUUAAGUUUUGCGUUUAGGUCCACUUUUCUCAGAAAGUAUCAAUGCUAUUGCAUUCAAACUUGGUACACUUACUUACUAUCAUGAGGGGACUGGGCAGGCAAAGUUAGAUAACUCUGGCGUGCAUUUUGACAGAAUUAUGUGCCCUUUUUGUACUUAAAAAAUUGAAAAUUUUGGUUAAGUUUUGCGUUUAGUUCCACUUUUCUCAGUAAGUAUCAAUGCUAUUGCAUUCAAACUUGGUACACUUACUUACUAUCAUGAGGGGACUGGGCAGGCAAAGUUAGAUAACUCUGGCAUGCAUUUUGACAGAAUUAUGUGCCCUUUUUAUACUUAGAAAAUUGACAAUUUUGGUUAAGUUUUGUGUUUAAGUCCAUUUUAUUCCUUAAGCAUCAAAGCUAUUGCUUUCAUACUUGCAACACUUACUAACUAUCAUAAGGGGACUGUGCAGGCAAAGUAAUGUAACUCUGACUGGCAUUUUGACAGAAUUAUGUGCCCUUUUUAUACUUAGAAAAUUGAAAAUUUGAUUAAGUUUUGUGUUUAGGUCCACUUUAUUCCUACAGAAUCAAAGCUAUUGCUUUCAUACAUGCAAGAUUUAUGAACUAUCAUAAGGGGACGGUGCAGGCAAAGUUAUGUAACUCUGACUGGCAUUUGGACGGAAUUAUGGGCCCUUUAUACUUAGAAAAUUGAAAAUUUGGUUAAGAUUUAUGUUUUGGUCCACUUUACCCCUAAAGUAUCAUAGAUAUUGCUUUCAUACUUGGAACACUCACAAACUAUCAUAAGGGUACAGUAAAAGGACAAGUUGCAUAACUCUGGUUGUCAUUGUUACGGAAUUAUGGCCCUUUUUUGACUUAGUAACUUUUAAUAUAUGGUUAAAUUUUGUGUUUCGAUCCACUCGAAGUAUCAAGGCUAUUGCUUUCAAACUUCAAAUACUUACAUGCUAUCAUGAGGUUACUGUACCUGGCAACUUGAAUUUU